CCGCAUUGCUGCCAGCUCCUCCGUAAGCUUGAAGUCGCUCGUCGUCCACCGGGGAGACAUGAGCAGCUGGGCCGCGUGACGGACGUCACAGCGCUCAUCCAAAGCUUCACGCUUCACCUUGCAGCCGAAACUCCAGAUUCUCCGCGAUGUCCUCCACCCUCCUCGUGCCCCUCAAGACCCCUGAAACAACACGAGAAAAACUACAUGUGGAUGAAAAACCUGAAUGACCCGUUUUGUGGCGUUCAGAGUCUCUGGGUCAUGACGUAGGCGUGCACUCUGCAGGUGGAGCGUGUUACCGUGAAGGGGCUCCUUCCUUCUGGGUGGUGCAGCACACGUGCUGACAGCCUCAUGUACCCGGGUUACACCGUCUGACGUGUUGGUACCGACCGUCUUCCUGCUUCUCAUGAGAUCACAAACAGGAAUCUUCUCUUUGCUCGGAUGCUUCAAAGUAUUUAUUGUGUGUUUUUCUUUGUCAUCGGUCGUCUUUCUGUUCGUUCUCGACUUUUAAAAAGUGAUCAAAUGUUUUGUUGUGUCAUUUUAAAGACGACGACCCUCUUUAGGAAAAU